rnacentral:rRNA from 1 species
AUUGAACGCUGGCGGCAGGCCUAACACAUGCAAGUCGAGCGGCAGCGGAAAGUAGCUUGCUACUUUGCCGGCGAGCGGCGGACGGGUGAGUAAUGUCUGGGAAACUGCCUGAUGGAGGGGGAUAACUACUGGAAACGGUAGCUAAUACCGCAUAACGUCGCAAGACCAAAGAGGGGGACCUUCGGGCCUCUUGCCAUCAGAUGUGCCCAGAUGGGAUUAGCUAGUAGGUGGGGUAACGGCUCAACUAGGCGACGAUCCCUAGCUGGUCUGCGAGGAUGACCAGCCACACUGGAACUGAGACAGAGUCCAGACGCCUACGGGAGGCAGCAGUGGGGAAUAUUGCACAAGGGGCGAAAGCCUGAUGCAGCCAUGCCGCGUGUAUGAAGAAGGCCUUCGGGUUGUAAAGUACUUUCAGCGGGGAGGAAGGUGUUGUGGUUAAUAACCACAGCAAUUGACGUUACCCGCAGAAGAAGCACCGGCUAACUCCGUGCCAGCCGCCGCCGUAA